rnacentral:rRNA from 1 species
CCCCAGUAAACGGCGGCCGUAACUAUAACGGUCCUAAGGUAGCGAAAUUCCUUGUCGGGUAAGUUCCGACCCGCACGAAAGGCGUAACGAUUUGGGCACUGUCUCAACGAGAGACUCGGUGAAAUCAUAGUACCGGUGAAGAUGCCGGUUACCCGCGACAGGACGGAAAGACCCCGUGGAGCUUUACUGUAGCCUGAUAUUGAAAUUCGGUACAGUUUGUACAGGAUAGGUAGGAGCCUUAGAAGCGUGAGCGCUAGCUUACGUGGAGGCAUUGGUGGGAUACUACCCUAAUUGUAUUGGAUUUCUAACCCGCAGCACUUAUCGUGCUGGGAGACAGUGUCAGGCGGGCAGUUUGACUGGGGCGGUCGCCUCCUAAAGAGUAACGGAGGCGCUCAAAGGUUCCCUCAGAAUGGUUGGAAAUCAUUCAUAGAGUGUAAAGGCAUAAGGGAGCUUGACUGCGAGACCUACAAGUCGAGCAGGGUCGAAAGACGGACUUAGUGAUCCGGUGGUUCCGCAUGGAAGGGCCAUCGCUCAACGGAUAAAAGCUACCCCGGGGAUAACAGGCUUAUCUCCCCCAAGAGUUCACAUCGACGGGGAGGUUUGGCACCUCGAUGUCGGCUCAUCGCAUCCUGGGGCUGUAGUCGGUCCCAAGGGUUGGGCUGUUCGCCCAUUAAAGCGGUACGCGAGCUGGGUUCAGAACGUCGUGAGACAGUUCGGUCCCUAUCCGUCGUGGGCGUAGGAAAUUUGAGAGGAGCUGUCCUUAGUACGAGAGGACCGGGAUGGACAUACCUCUGGUGUACCAGUUGUCGUGCCAACGGCAUAGCUGGGUAGCUAUGUAUGGACGGGAUAAGUGCUGAAAGCAUCUAAGCAUGAAGCCCCCCUCGAGAUGAGAUUUCCCAACUUC